rnacentral:rRNA from 1 species
CCUACGGGGGGCAGCAGUGGGGAAUAUUGCACAAUGGGCGCAAGCCUGAUGCAGCCAUGCCGCGUGUGUGAAGAAGGCCUUCGGGUUGUAAGGCACUUUCAGCGGGGAGGAAGGCGGUGAGGUUAAUAACCUCAUCGAUUGACGUUACCCGCAGAAGAAGCACCGGCUAACUCCGUGCCAGCAGCCGCGGUAAUACGGAGGGUGCAAGCGUUAAUCGGAAUUACUGGGCGUAAAGCGCACGCGGGCGGUCUGUCAAGUCGGAUGUGAAAUCCCCGGGCUCAACCUGGGAACUGCAUUCGAAACUGGCAGGCUAGAGUCUUGUAGAGGGGGGUAGAAUUCCAGGUGUAGCGGUGAAAUGCGUAGAGAUCUGGAGGAAUACCGGUGGCGAAGGCGGCCCCCUGGACAAAGACUGACGCUCAGGUGCGAAAGCGUGGGGAGCAAACAGGAUUAGAUACCCGGUAGUC